GAUGAAGAACGCAGCGAAAUGCGAUAAGUAAUGUGAAUUGCAGAAUUCAGUGAAUCAUCGAGUCUUUGAACGCACCUUGCGCCCUUUGGACUUCUGAAGGGCAUGCCUGUUUGAGUAUCAUGAACACCUCAACUCCUUAUGGUCUUCCAUGAUGAGCUUGGACUUUGGGGGUUUUGCUGGCCUACAGUCAGCUCCUCUAAAAUAAAUCAGCUUACCGGUGUUUGGUGGGUAUCAUGGGUGUGAUAACUAUCUACGCUCGUGGUUUUCCACCAGGUAACCUUCAGCAGUGGAGGUUCACUGGAGCUCAUAGAUGUCUCUCCUCAGCGAGGACAGCCCUUUGAAUGUUUGAUCUCAAAUCAGGUAGGACUACCCGCUGAACUUAAGCAUAUCAAUAAGCGGAGGA
rnacentral:misc_RNA from 1 species